rnacentral:rRNA from 1 species
CUACGGGUGGCUCCAGUGGGGAAUAUUGGACAAUGGGGGAAACCCUGAUCCAGCAAUGCCGCGUGUGUGAAGAAGGCCUGCGGGUUGUAAAGCACUUUCGGUUGGGAGGACUGCUUCUAGCACUAAUAUUGUUGGAAGUUGACGUUACCUUCGGAAGAAGCACCGGCUAACUCCGUGCCAGCAGCCGCGGUAAUACGGAGGGUGCAGCGUUAAUCGGAAUUACUGGGCGUAAAGCGCGCGUAGGCGGCUAGAUCAGUCGGGUGUGAAAGCCCCGGGCUUAACCUGGGAACUGCAUCCGAUACUGUCGAGCUUGAGUACAGGAGAGGGGAGUGGAAUUCCACAUGUAGCGGUGAAAUGCGUAGAUAUGUGGAGGAACACCAAUGGCGAAGGCAGCUCUCUGGCCUGAUACUGACGCUGAGGUGCGAAAGCGUGGGGAGCAAACAGGAUUGGAUACCCCUGUAGUC